AUAAAAAAACCCUGCGGCAUACGCCCGCAGGUUUCCUUAGCGUUUACUUGUCCCUCGCGCAUCGGUAGGAAACAAGUAAACCAAAGGAAAGAAAAGGGAGAGGAGAAACCGGAGGAAGAACUUAUGGGGAAACGUAAGUCUUCUCCGUGG
rfam:Geobacillus sp. Y4.1MC1, complete genome.